rnacentral:rRNA from 1 species
AGACUCCUACGGGAGGCAGCAGUAGGGAAUAUUGGACAAUGGGCGAAAGCCUGAUCCAGCAACGCCGCGUGGAUGACGAAGCAUCUUGGUGUGUAAAAUCCUGUCAGUGGGGACGAAACGUAGAGGUAGGAAAUGACCUUUACCUGAAUGUACCCGCAGGGGAAGCUCCGGCCAACUCCGUGCCAGCAGCCGCGGUAAUACGGGGGGAACGAGCGUUGUUCGGAUUUACUGGGCGUAAAGGGCACGCAGGUGGGAAAAUAAGUCAGAUGUGAAACCCCAAAGCUUAACUCUGGGACUGCAUUUGAUACUGUUUUUCUUGAGUACGAGAGAGGAUGGCAGAAUUCUUGGUGUAGCGGUGAAAUGCGUAGAUAUCAAGAAGAAUACCGGUGGCGAAGGCGGCCAUCUGGCUCGAUACUGACGCUCAGGUGCGAAGGUCGGGGGAGCAAACAGGAUUAGAUACCCUGGUAGUCCCGACAGUAAACGAUGGGAACUAGGUGUUGGAGGUAUCGACCCCUCCAGUGCCGCAGCUAACGCAUUAAGUUCCCCGCCUGGGGAGUACGAUCGCAAGAUUGAAACUCAAAGGAAUUGACGGGGGCCCGCACAAGCAGUGGAGUAUGUGGUUUAAUUCGACGCAACGCGAAGAACCUUACCUGGGUUUGACAUGCAGGAGAAAGCAUCAGAGAUGAUGCCCCGGCUUCGGUCGCUGCUGCACAGGUGCUGCAUGGCUGUCGUCAGCUCGUGCCGUGAGGUGUUGGGUUAAGUCCCGCAACGAGCGCAACCCCUAUCCUUAGUUGCUAUUCUGUCAAAAGAGGCACCCUAAGGAGACUGCCGGUGGUAAGCCGGAGGAAGGUGGGGAUGAGGUCAAGUCAUCAUGGCCCUUACGUCCAGGGCUACACACGUACUACAAUGGUCGGUACAGAAGGCUGCAAGACCGCAAGGUGGAGCCAAUCCCGAAAACCGACCUCAGUUCAGAUUGAAGUCUGCAACUCGACUUCAUGAAGGUGGAAUUGCUAGUAAUCGCAGAUCAGCACGCUGCGGUGAAUACGUUCCCGGGCCUUGUACACACCGCCCGUCAAGCCAUGGAAGCUGGGAGUACCCGAAGCCGUUUGCCUAACCGCAAGGAGGGCGACGUCUAAGGUAAGACCGGUGACUGGGGCUAAGUCGUAACAAGGUA